UGUAACCUGAAAUGUUCGAUAACUCCUGUUGUUUUGAACCUACAUUUACUUUAAACGGGACUCCUAUAUUGCCGCGUGGAUGUCAGGCCCCCAUUGCGCAGGGGAAGGCAGAAGCGUUCGGCUGCGGUAACCCACCUGGCUGUCAGCUAGGAGUCAGAAGACAGGAGGCGGCAUUUUGGGGAUACA
rnacentral:other from 1 species